rnacentral:rRNA from 1 species
AAGCGGCAACAGCUCAAAUUUGAAAUCUGGUCCCCAGGGCCCGAGUUGUAAUUUGUAGAGGAUGCUUUUGGCGAGGCGCCUUCCGAGUUUCCUGGAACGGGACGCCACAGAGGGUGAGAGCCCCGUCUGGUCGGAUGCCAAGCGUAUGUAAAGCUCCUUCGACGAGUCGAGUAGUUUGGGAAUGCUGCUCAAAAUGGGAGGUAUAUGUCUUCUAAAGCUAAAUACCGGCCAGAGACCGAUAGCGCACAAGUAGAGUGAUCGAAAGAUGAAAAGCACUUUGAAAAGAGGGUUAAAAAGUACGUGAAAUUGUUGAAAGGGAAGCGCCUAUGACCAGACUUGGGCCCGGUGAAUCAUCCAGCGUUCUCGCUGGUGCACUUUGCCGGGCACAGGCCAGCAUCAGUUUGGCGCGGGGGACAAAGGCUUCGGGAAUGUGGCUCCCCUCGGGGAGUGUUAUAGCCCGUUGCGCAAUACCCUGCGCCGGACUGAGGUACGCGCUCCGCAAGGAUGCUGGCGUAAUGGUCAUCAGCGACCCGUCUUGAAACACGGACCAAGGAGUCGUCUUCGUAUGCGAGUGUUCGGGUGUAAAACCCCUACGCGUAAUGAAAGUGAACGCAGGUGAGAGCUUCGGCGCAUCACCGACCGAUCCUGAUGUUCUCGGAUGGAUUUGAGUAAGAGCAUACGGGGCCGGACCCGAAAGAAGGUGAACUAUGCCUGUAUAGGGUGAAGCCAGAGGAAACUCUGGUGGAGGCUCGCAGCGGUUCUGACGUGCAAAUCGAUCGUCAAAUAUGGGCAUGGGGGCGAAAGACUAAUCGAACCUUCUAGUAGCUGGUUUCCGCCGAAGUUUCCCUCAGGAUAGCAGUGUUGAACUCAGUUUUAUGAGGUAAAGCGAAUGAUUAGGGACUCGGGGGCGCUAUAUAGCCUUCAUCCAUUCUCAAACUUUAAA